rnacentral:rRNA from 1 species
UGGGGAAUAUUGCACAAUGGGCGAAAGCCUGAUGCAGCGACGCCGCGUGAGGGAUGACGGCCUUCGGGUUGUAAACCUCUUUCAGCAGGGAAGAAGCGAAAGUGACGGUACCUGCAGAAGAAGCGCCGGCUAACUACGUGCCAGCAGCCGCGGUAAUACGUAGGGCGCAAGCGUUGUCCGGAAUUAUUGGGCGUAAAGAGCUCGUAGGCGGUUAGUCGCGUCUGCUGUGAAAACUCGAGGCUCAACCUCGGGCUUGCAGUGGGUACGGGCUGACUAGAGUGCGGUAGGGGUGACUGGAAUUCCUGGUGUAGCGGUGGAAUGCGCAGAUAUCAGGAGGAGCACCGAUGGCGAAGGCAGGUCACUGGGCCGCAACUGACGCUGAGGAGCGGAAGCAUGGGGAGCGAACAGGAUUAGAUACCCUGGUAGUCCAUGCCGUAAACGUUGGGCACUAGGUGUGGGGUCCAUUCCACGGAUUCCGUGCCGCAGCAAACGCAUUAAGUGCCCCGCCUGGGGAGUACGGCCGCAAGGCUAAAACUCAAAUGAAUUGACGGGGGUCAUAGCUG